rnacentral:rRNA from 1 species
GACGAACGCUGGCGGCGUGCUUAACACAUGCAAGUCGAACGGAAAGGCCCUGCUUUUGUGGGGUGAUCGAGUGGCGAACGGGUGAGUAACACGUAAAUAACCUGCCCUUGACUUUGGGAUAACUUCAGGAAACUGGGGCUAAUCCCGGAUAGGAGCUCCCGCUGCAGGGUGGGGGUUGGAAAGUUUCGGCGGUUGGGGAUGGACUCGCGGCUUAUCAGCUUGUUGGUGGGGUAGUGGCUUACCAAGGCAUUGGCGGGUACGCGGCAUGGGAAGGUGGACAGGGACAAUGGGACUGAGGUACGGAGCAGAGGGCAACAUGAGGCAACAGGGGGGAAUAUGGCACAACGGUCGCAAGCCGGAUAAAGCAACGCCGGGGGCGGGAUGACGGCCUGCGGGGUGUAAACCGCUUCAGCCUGUGACGCAGCGGGAGUGACGGUAAUGGGUAAAGAAGCACCGGCUAACUACGUG